UGCCAGGCGUGCACAUGUCCCUGCCAGGCGUGCACACGGGCGUGUGUGCCUGAACCGGAGAUGUAGAUGUAUAUAUGGGGCUUGAUUUAUAUCUAAUGGCACGUAUAAAGCUUUUGAAGGUGGCUGCAAUGUAAAAAGUAAUGACUUUAUUACCCCUGAAAGGUUCUGCGGUUCGCAGUUAACACUCCUCUGAAUUACAAUUCAUUACGCUCUCCAAAGCCAACCUGCAUCAGAACACCUACCUGUGCUUAUUCCCAAUCACAGGCAUCGUUCAUUCUAAAAAUCAUAGCAAAUUAAGCACUUGGUGACAACUAAAUCUGUUUCAUUAUCGUGCCGUGUUUGAGAUUCCAGAGGUGACUUCCCAGAUCGCAUCUCAAAACCUACAGUCAGGAGCUAAUUUUACAGAUGCUUUCAUGAAUGGCAGCGAGGAUGUUCUUACCAUCAGCAUGCCCUUAAUUCCAGCACCGUAAAAAUGCCUCGAUUUAAAUGGAAACUCGCUGCCUUAAAAAUAAUAUUUCAUCCUGGCUGGAUAAUUAUUAAUAUUAGCAUUUGAUCGCAAAAGUGCUGGCUCCCCCUCGUUCCUGUACCCCCCCACCCCACCCCACAGCGCUUCGCAUUGUCAUGUGAUUGGAGGGAGAUAACAAAUCUCAAGAAAGAAAAGGAGUGAGAAGACAUUUUUAACACGGCAUGACCGCAGAUUAAUAAUGCAGGGUAUGAAUUUGGUACUUCUAGCUCUUGUGAAGCUCCCUACUCAAUGGAAUAUGUAUGGAUACUCCAGGUAAAUCUACAGCUACCCUGAGGAUUUCACAGGGCACACCUGCCACCCUGACCCACCUCCCUGUUCCUACACAUUGGGAAGAGGCCAGGAACAAGAAAUGACACCUUAGUUAUCUCCAAAGAGGGUCCUAAAUGUGUAAGAUAAAGAGAACAUAAAUAAAUAUCUUUGCUAACAGUUUCUUGGAA